UCAAAGGAGUGAUCCGGCAGAGGAUGGACAUGCGGCGCAUUAGCUAGUCGGCGGGGUAACGGCCCACCGAGGCUACGAUGCGUAGGGGUUCUGAGAGGAAGGUCCCCCACACUGGUACUGAGACACGGACCAGACUCCUACGGGAGGCAGCAGUGAGGAAUAUUGGUCAAUGGGCGGAAGCCUGAACCAGCCAAGUCGCGUGAGGGAAGACGGUCCUAUGGAUUGUAAACCUCUUUUGCAGGGGAGCAAGGCGCGGUACGUGUACCGCGAAGGAGAGUACCCUGAGAAAAAGCAUCGGCUAACUCCGUGCCAGCAGCCGCGGUAAUACGGAGGAUGCGAGCGUUAUCCGGAUUUAUUGGGUUUAAAGGGUGCGCAGGCGGACUGUUAAGUCAGCGGUAAAAUGUCGGUGCUCAACACCGGCCGGCCGUUGAAACUGGCAGCCUUGAGUGAGCGAGAAGUAUGCGGAAUGCGUGGUGUAGCGGUGAAAUGCAUAGAUAUCACGCAGAACUCCGAUUGCGAAGGCAGCAUACCGGCGCUCAACUGACGCUCAGGCACGAAAGCGUGGGUAUCGAACAGGCUUAGAUACCCUGGUAGUCCACGCAGUAAACGAUGAAUGCUCACUGUCCGGGCCGUUUAAGGCCUGGGUGGUCAAGCGAAAGCGUUAAGCAUUCCACCUGGGGAGUACGCCGGCAACGGUGAAACUCAAAGGAAUUGACGGGGGCCCGCACAAGCGGAGGAACAUGUGGUUUAAUUCGAUGAUACGCGAGGAACCUUACCCGGGCUCAAACGGAAGGGGACAGUAUGAGAAAUCAUACAUUCCUUCGGGACCGCUCCCGAGGUGCUGCAUGGUUGUCGUCAGCUCGUGCCGUGAGGUGUCGGCUUAAGUGCCAUAACGAGCGCAACCCCUAUCGACAGUUGCUAGCAGGUAAAGCUGAGGACUCUGUCGAGACUGCCGGCGCAAGCUGUGAGGAAGGCGGGGAUGACGUCAAAUCAGCACGGCCCUUACGUCCGGGGCGACACACGUGUUACAAUGGCAGGUACAGCGGGAAGCCACCCGGCGACGGGGCGCAGAACCCGAAAACCUGUCUCAGUUCGGAUUGGAGUCUGCAACCCGACUCCAUGAAGCUGGAUUCGCUAGUAAUCGC
rnacentral:rRNA from 1 species